rnacentral:rRNA from 1 species
CAAUAGCGUAUAUUAAAGUUGCUGCAGUUAAAAGCUCGUAGUUGGAUUUGUGGCGCGGCCGUCCGGCGGGGGCUCUUCAUUGAGCCCGUUUGUCCUGGUUUUCGGCCGUUCCUUUCUCGGGUAGCGUGUGGCUGGCAUUAGGUUGUUGGCCGCUUCGCGCCCGUCUUUUACUGUGAAAAAAUUAGAGUGUUUAAAGCAGGCUUAAGCCGUUGAAUACAUUAGCAUGGAAUAAUAAGAUAAGACUUGGGUCAUUAUUUUGUUGGUUUGCGGAUCGAGGUAAUGAUUAAUAGGGAUAGUUGGGGGUAUUCAUAUUUAAUUGUCAGAGGUGAAAUUCUUGGAUUUAUGAAAGAUGAACUUAGGCGAAAGCAUUUACCAAGGAUGUUUUCAUUAAUCAAGAACGAAAGUUAGGGGAUCGAAGACGAUUAGAU